UGCUCCUAUGUUCUAGCAAGCAAUGAAGCUGAAACCUGGCAUGCUUGUCUGCUCCUAUAUUCUAAUAAUCAAUGAAGCUGAAACCUGGCCUGCUUGUCUGCUCCUAUGUUCUAACAAGCAAUGAAGCUGAAACCUGGCCUGCUUGUCUGCUCCUAUGUUCUAGCAAGCAAUGAAGCUGAAACCUGGCAUGCUUGUCUGCUCCUAUAUUCUAACAAGCAAUGAAGCUGAAACCUGGCAUGCUUGUCUGCUCCUAUGUUCUAACAAGCAAUGAAGCUGAAACCUGGCAUGCUUGUCUGCUCCUAUAUUCUAACAAGCAAUGAAGCUGAAACCUGGCAUGCUUGUCUGCUCCUAUAUUCUAACAAGCAAUGAAGCUGAAACCUGGCAUGCUUGUCUGCUCCUAUAUUCUAACAAGCAAUGAAGCUGAAACCUGGCAUGCUUGUCUGCUCCUAUGUUCUAACAAGCAAUGAAGCUGAAACCUGGCAUGCUUGUCUGCUCCUAUGUUCUAGCAAGCAAUGAAGCUGAAACCUGGCAUGCUUGUCUGCUCCUAUAUUCUAACAAGCAAUGAAGCUGAAACCUGGCAUGCUUGUCUGCUCCUAUGUUCUAACAAGCAAUGAAGCUGAAACCUGGCAUGCUUGUCUGCUCCUAUAUUCUAACAAGCAAUGAAGCUGAAACCUGGCAUGCUUGUCUGCUCCUAUGUUCUAACAAGCAAUGAAGCUGAAACCUGGCAUGCUUGUCUGCUCCUAUGUUCUAACAAGCAAUGAAGCUGAAACCUGGCAUGCUUGUCUGCUCCUAUGUUCUAACAAGCAAUGAAGCUGAAACCUGGCAUGCUUGUCUGCUCCUAUGUUCUAACAAGCAAUGAAGCUGAAACCUGGCAUGCUUGUCUGCUCCUAUAUUCUAACAAGCAAUCAAGCUGAAACCUGGCAUGCUUGUUACCACAUGUAGGAGUUCUGGGUUUUUAUGUAAUAUUUAAUGGUGAAAAUUUACCAUUAUUUGAUAACUUUGACCAUGUCUUACCUUCCAUGCACUCAGUGAUGUGUAAACAUCUCGGAAACUGUUUAACUGUUUUAAAGGUGAAGUCUGGUUGGCAUUUUGCUUCUAAUGAUGAGACAUGGAUUUGCUCCAGUGCUGAUUCUAGGUCUGUUUAGGUGCAUAGCAACUAAGGCUUUUGUUAAUGGGUGACUGAAAUGUAUCAGGUGACAGUCAUCUUGACAAUGUCCUCUGCUUAUGUGUCUUUGUAAAAUUGUCUUAUGCAGUAUGCUGAAAGACCCUGUAAGAUGUGUUCCAAAUUCAUCCUUGGAAGAUGUGAAAGUCAUUUGGCUCGCUAGUUUUUCUUCUGUGAAAGUGUUCCAGGGUAGAAAUUGAGGAUAUUUGUUGUUUAGAAUGUUUUAUAGUGAAUGUUCUUAUUUAUUCAUUCUUGUUUGGCUUGCUUAUGUUGAAAAUAUUCAGGUGAGCUACACAGCUUUAAGACUUUAUCAGCCUAACUCAAAUUGCUUAACAAUUAAAAUGUUACCCCAUGAACUUUGACAUGAAUUACACGAAUGAGAGCAACAAUUGGAUAGACAGAAAGCCAAAUACACCUGUCUGUUAUGAGAACUUAUUGGUUGAUGUUAUAAGAAACUUUACUGUGGUAGUUAUCUGAUUUACUGAUAACAAUCCUUGAUCAUGUUAACUUUUACAAGUUGUAUUUAUUCAUGGUUUUAUAAAUGUAUUUACAAUGCAAAUGUGUUUGUUAUUUAUUAAAUGUGCACAUGGUGCUCCUCUU
rnacentral:lncRNA from 1 species